CGCGACGGGGGGAUCCCAAGUGCCAUUCUUAACGGGAUGGCUUUUCAUUAGUGUAAAGAGCUUUUGGAAUAAGAGCUGGGCAAGACCGGUGCCAGCCGCCGCGGUAACACCGGCAGCUCUAGUGGUAACAAUUUUUAUUGGGCCUAAAGCGUCCGUAGCCGGUUUAAUAAGUCUCUGGUGAAAUCCUGUAGCUUAACUGUGGGAAUUGCUGGAGAUACUAUUAGACUUGAGACCGGGAGAGGUUAGAGGUACUCCCAGGGUAGAGGUGAAAUUCUGUAAUCCUGGGAGGACCGCCUGUUGCGAAGGCGUCUAACUGGAACGGUUCUGACGGUGAGGGACGAAAGUUAGGGGCGCGAACCGGAUUAGAUACCCGGGUAGUCCUAACUGUAAACGAUGCGGACUUGGUGUUGGGGUGGCUUUGAGCUGCUCCAGUGCCGAAGGGAAGCUGUUAAGUCCGCCGCCUGGGAAGUACGGUCGCAAGACUGAAACUUAA
rnacentral:rRNA from 1 species